GGGCAGGGGCAGGGGCAGGGGCAGUCAGGGAGUGUCAAGAAGACACAAUUACAACCCAUGUAAAGAAGUUCAUCGUCUCUGAGGUUCUAGAACCAGGCACCACUGUGUUGUAUGAAAGAGCGGUGUUCUGAGCUGAGCAGAGGUUGGCUUUCAGGUGGAAAAGGGCGGGAGCGCACAGAACAUACAGACUGUCCAUGUCAAAUCUACUUUCCUGUACUGUGUGGUAGGGGAAGAAAACUGGGAGUGGUGAUGGAGUCCUGGGCAAGAACCUGGGAGACUGAGAAGAGCAGGAAAAGGACGACACGGGUCAGAACGCUUGGACCAGGAACAAAGGCUCGCAGCGCCGUUUUUCUGCAGUUCUGGGUUUUAGACUUGAACAGUGUUGUGCACUUGGCAUUUUUUUGUGAGUUUCUUUCUCCUGUCAUCGCCCAGCUAGCUUAUAGAGUCCGUAAAUCUGUGACAGGAGAGACUUUUUUUUUUUUUUAAACCAGAAAAGCUGUGAAACUUAAUUCUGAGAAGGAAACCAGUUUUCUUGGAUCUCGUGCUGAACUGAUUGGGCCUCAAAUCCAAUGACGCCUGAAUUUAAAGGCUGUUCUGUAGGCCCUGUAAAAUCCUCUGCAUGGAGAGACUGGACAGACCACAGGAAUACCAAACUGCUGAACCCUCACACACCAUAAUGGAAGUGCUGCUGGAUAACCAGCAAGAAGUGCCAACUACUUAAUGUUUCCUGGACUUACUUCUUUUAUAAAGAGCCAAAGGAAACCACA